rnacentral:rRNA from 1 species
AUUGAACGCUGGCGGCACGCCUUACACAUGCCAGUCGAACGGUAACAGGUUAAGCUGCCGAGUGGCGAACGGGUGAGUAAUGUAUCGGAACGUGCCCAGUCGUGGGGGAUAACUGCUCGAAAGAGCAGCUAAUACCGCAUACGACCUGAGGGUGAAAGCGGGGGAUCGCAAGACCUCGCGCGAUUGGAGCGGCCGAUAUCAGAUUAGGUAGUUGGUGAGGUAAAGGCUCACCAAGCCGACGAUCUGUAGCUGGUCUGAGAGGACGACCAGCCACACUGGGACUGAGACACGGCCCAGACUCCUACGGGAGGCAGCAGUGGGGAAUUUUGGACAAUGGGCGCAAGCCUGAUCCAGCCAUGCCGCGUGCGGGAAGAAGGCCUUCGGGUUGUAAACCGCUUUUGUCAGGGAAGAAAAGGUUCUGGCUAAUACCUGGGACUCAUGACGGUACCUGAAGAAUAAGCACCGGCUAACUACGUG